AGAGUUUGAUCCUGGCUCAGAACGAACGCUGGCGGCAUGCCUAACACAUGCAAGUCGAACGAAGUCUUCGGACUUAGUGGCGCACGGGUGCGUAACGCGUGGGAAUCUGCCCUUGGGUGCGGAAUAACUUCUCGAAAGGGAUGCUAAUACCGCAUAAUGUCGUAAGACCAAAGAUUUAUCGCCCAAGGAUGAGCCCGCGUAAGAUUAGCUAGUUGGCGGGGUAAAAGCCUACCAAGGCGACGAUCUUUAGCUGGUCUGAGAGGAUGAUCAGCCACACUGGGACUGAGACACGGCCCAGACUCCUACGGGAGGCAGCAGUGGGGAAUAUUGGACAAUGGGCGAAAGCCUGAUCCAGCAAUGCCGCGUGAGUGAUGAAGGCCCUAGGGUUGUAAAGCUCUUUUACCAGGGAUGAUAAUGACAGUACCUGGAGAAUAAGCUCCGGCUAACUCCGUG
rnacentral:rRNA from 1 species